GAUGAAGAACGCAGCGAAAUGCGAUAAGUAAUGUGAAUUGCAGAAUUCAGUGAAUCAUCGAAUCUUUGAACGCACAUUGCGCCCGCCAGUAUUCUGGCGGGCAUGCCUGUUCGAGCGUCAUUACAACCCUCAGGCCCCCGGGCCUGGCGUUGGGGAUCGGCGGAGCCCCCCGUGGGCACACGCCGUCCCCCAAAUACAGUGGCGGUCCCGCCGCAGCUUCCAUCGCGUAGUAGCUAACACCUCGCGACUGGAGAGCGGCGCGGCCACGCCGUAAAACACCCAACUCUUCUGAAGUUGACCUAGAAUCAGGUAGGAAUACCCGCUGAACUUAAGCAUAUCAAUAAGCGGAGGA
rnacentral:misc_RNA from 1 species